CCAUAUGCGCCCCACUAUCUUGGCUCCCUUAGCUUCACGCUACAUGGCAUGGCUCACUUCACAUUGCAUGGUUUCAUAGUGCAUCCACUAAUUCAAAGUCCCAUGUGCAUGUAUGUCCCAUGCACACAAACUCCCUUUGGGCGCUACACUUGGCCCAUGCAUGUUUCAUGCACACAAGGUGUUGGCUUCACUCUUGCCAUGCCACAUGUCUCACUAAAUGGACUUGGACCCCCUUUAGUGCGCUACUCCAAUUGCCCAUGCAAUUCACGUA
rnacentral:misc_RNA from 1 species